UACGGGGGGGGCAAGCGUUGUUCGGAAUUACUGGGCGUAAAGGGCUCGUAGGUGGCCAACUAAGUCAGACGUGAAAUCCCUCGGCUUAACCGGGGAACUGCGUCUGAUACUGGAUGGCUUGAGUCCGGGAGGGGGUAGCGGAAUUCCCAGUGUAGCGGUGAAAUGCGUAGAUAUUGGGAGGAACACCAGUGGCGAAGGCGGCUACCUGGACCGGUACCGACGUUCAGGCACGAAAGCGUGGGGAGCAAACAGG
rnacentral:rRNA from 1 species